rnacentral:rRNA from 1 species
ACCAGACUUGCCCUCCAAUUGAUACUCGUUAAGAGGUUUAGAUUGUACUCAUUCCAAUUACUAAAUUUUAUUAUAAAUUCAGUAUUGUUAUUUAUUGUCACUACCUCCCCAUGUUGGGAUUGGGUAAUUUGCGCGCCUGCUGCCUUCCUUGGAAGUAGUAGCCGUUUCUCAGGCUCCUUCUCCGGAAUCAAACCCUGAUUCUCCGUUACCCGUUACCACCAUGGUAGUCCUCUAUACUACCAUCGAAAGUUGAUAGGGCAGAUAUUUGAAUGAACUAUCGUCAGUACUAAGACUAUACGAUUAGUUAAAUUACUAUGAAUCACCAAUAUUUAAACUCAUAAUAAAUAUUGCUAUUCAUUAUAAGUAUUGGUUUUGUAUCUAAUAAAUACAACCUUUCCGUUCCCAGUUAGGUUUUUACGCAUGUAUUAGCUCUAGUUUUACCACGGUUAUCCAAGUGGUAUUUACCAUCAAAUAAAUUAUAACUGAUUUAAUGAGCCAUUCGCAGUUUUACAGUACAAGUGCUUAUACUUAGACAUGCAUGGCUUAGUCUUUAAGACAAGCAUAUGACUACUGGCAGGAUCAACCAG